UCACCCCUCAAGCCCCCGGCUUGGUGUUGGACGAUUUGGCGGAGGCCCCUCACGGGGCUCUCGCCCGUCCCAAAGACAAUGACGGCGGCCUCGUUGGACCCCCGGUACACUGAGUUCUUCACGGGACACGUACUGGAGUAAGGGUUCGCGGGGCACGGUCUGCCUCCCCUCAGGGAGAAUCUUUCUAA
rnacentral:misc_RNA from 1 species